AUUUUUUCCUCCUUCUCUUCAUUCAACCGUAGCAUAGCAUUCUCUCAAUUUUCUACCCACAUCGCGUCGCCGCUGUAAGGGUUUUCACCACCGCUGCAGCCACCGCACGAGAGAACCAACGCCACCAUUGUGCUCCUCCCCCUGCUUCCUCCCUCUCGACUGUUCAUUUGUGAUUGGAUCAACUCGAUCGACGAAUCACCACGAUUGCAUCCUUUGAGUUAAAAUAUGGCGUAAAGAAAAUAUCGGAAGUGCGGUUGGCUUAAAAGAGCAACAGAGAUAACGGUGCACUGCUAUGGACCCAUCUAUAGUGAAGCUUCUUGAAGAUGAUGAGGAUGAAACUAUGCAUUCAGGGGCAGACGUGGAAGCCUUCCAAGCGGCAUUGAAUAGAGACAUAGGAGGAGAUGCGUCUAAUUCUCAGCUUUCUGAUUCGGAUGCAGGAAGCAAUAAUUCAUUCAGUCAAUCAUUACCAACAUGGCCAACUUCUGGCCAUGACAACCAGACCGACUGUCAAAAUCAGGAGCCUAAAAUUGCACAACAGCAAGAGCAACCUUCAUCUGAGAUGGAGCUGAAGCAACAAGGACCUGUCGUGGAACAGAUACAGAAUGUUGCAUCACAGGAGGCAAGUAAUCUUCCUUUAUCACAUAAACAAUCUCAAGAUGAAUGUCUCCAAGGUCAAACUGUGCUAGUUUCCCACCAAAAUUCUCAAACAAAUGUGGUCCCGAAAUCUGAAAAAGAACCUGUCUUUAACCAUGAAGCAAUCAAAAUAAAUAAUCCUAACUGUGAAUCUCAGUAUGCAAAGCUGCAGCAGAUGAGUAAUCAACAAGCCACAGUCAACGAACAACCUAGUAGCCAAAUCAAUCGUAGUAAACAGGUGCCAUUUGGUCUGUUGCUCCCUAUCUUGAUUCCCCAACUGGCCAAAGAUAGAGCCAUGCAACUUCAAACUUUAUUUAACAAAUUGAAGAAAGAUGAAAUACCCAAAGAUCAUUUUGUACGGCUUAUGAAAGGUAUUGUGGGGGAUCAGAUGCUUAGAAUAGCAUUAACGAAGGUGCAACAACAGACAAGAAGCAACCCAGUUUCUUCUGGACAGCAGAACCCUGUAAGGAUGCCAACUGUUCCUUCCAGUGCAGCAAAAUUUAAUGAUCCCCAUGCAUUAGCACAGCUGCAUCAGAGAAGUAUGAAUGCUGCUGCAGACCAUUCUCAUAAUACCUCUUCAGCUAUACAAGUGAAGAGUGAGCCGAUCUAUUCAACUAUGGACAUUAGUGCUAAAAAAUCCCAGGAACAGGAUGUUCGAGUAGUGCAACCAAAUCAAUUACCAUCGUCCAGUUCUAAUGCCGUUAGUCAAGAAACUGAUAGAUCCUCAGUUCACAUACAAGGACUUAAUAAGCAGCAACAACAACAUAUUCAUUUCCCAGGGACAUAUGGAAGCAGUGGAGGUAAUUAUGCCCCCUUUUCUGGGUCAACCACUGGUUCAUCAUCAUCUCUCAGAUCACAACCUCAUCCUCAUGAUUCACACAUAAGGCAAAUUCCACAUCAGAGCACUGGUCUAAAUCACUUAGGUGUAGAACGGCAUAGUUCUUUCAAUGAUCCCAAGCGAAUGCCAGGUGGAUCUGUGUCGACUGGGGCAAACAAUACAACUUCACAACAAACUUCAAAUUCUUGGCAACCAUCAGCAGAACAAAAUUCGGGCUUGUUUUCAUCUGUUUCAUAUGUAAAAAAGGAACCUAAUGACCUUUCUAUUGAGCAGCAACACAGGCAUCAUUUAUCUAAAUUGCAUGGGUUGCCUUCUGUUAAUUCUGCACAAACUGAACAUGGUAGUGGUGUCAAUCAAAGCACUAUAAAGGAUGAGUUUUCAAGAGGUUCUUUAGCAUCCAAUAGCAUGCCCCAUACAACAGCUGGUAGCUUGCUAGCACCAAACUCUGCUCCCCCUUCUGCUUCUCAACUAGAUCCAACUGUCACUUUAAGCUCUCAGAUCCCAUCUAGCACUUCGGGUCUUAUGACAAAGACACCUCCUCUAAAGAAACCUCCUCUUGGCCAGAAGAAGCCACUCGAAGCACUUGGUUCUUCACCCCCUCCUCCGAGUAAGAAACAAAAGGUGUAUGGGACAUCAAUGGAACAAAGCAUUGAUCAGCUUAAUGAUGUUACGGCUGUUAGUGGUGUUGAUCUUAGGGAGGAGGAAGAACAAUUAUUUUCUGGGCCCAAGGAGGACAGUCGAGUUUCAGAAGCAUCUCGAAGAGUUGUGCAGGAGGAGGAGGAAAGUCUGAUUUUGCAGAAAGCUCCAUUGCAGAGAAAAUUGAUUGAGAUUAUGACCGAGUGUGGCUUGAAGGGCAUGAGUAAUGAUGUGGAAAGAUGCUUGUCACUGUGUGUGGAGGAGAGAAUGCGUGGAGUAAUAAGUAACAUAAUUAGAAUGUCGAAGCAGCGGGUUGAUAUUGAGAAAACAAGACAUCGGACUGCUGUCACUUCAGAUGUUCGACAUCAAAUCAUGGAAAUGAAUAGGAAAGCAAGGGAAGAGUGGGAGAAAAAACAGGCUGAAGCAGAGAAGCUCCGGAAACUGAAUGAUGUAGAUGGUAGUUCUGGAGUUGAUGGUGACAAAGAGAAGGAUGAAGGUCGCAAUAAAGCAACAAAGGUGAACAAGGAAGUAGAUGACAAGAUGAGGACAAAUGCUGCAAACGUUGCGGCCAGAGCUGCUGUUGGGGGACCUGACAUGCUGUCUAAGUGGCAACUUAUGGCCGAGCAAGCCAGGCAGAAACGUGAAGGGGGGAUGGACGCUGCAUCUGAUUCUCAGCCAACUAAAGAUGUGAGUCCCAAAUCUCCAUCGCCAGGAAGGAGCACAAAAGAUAAUCAAGAAAGGGAGAGAAAAGGUCCAACUUCUCUUGGGAAUUCGGGUGUGUUUCUUCUUGGUUGUUUCAUAUCAUUUCAGCCGCUGCUAGGAAAUUUGGGAAAAAUCAUUCCUCUGGAUCUCAAACUCGCGUAGCUCGUAGCAUCUCUGUGAAGGAUGUGAUUGCAGUCUUGGAGAGGGAACCUCAGAUGGCCAAAUCAUCACUCUUAUAUCAAUUGUAUGAGAGAAUUCAUGCUGAUACUUCAAACGAAUAAGGCAUCAAUUUGUAAGUCGGAGAUUUGCUAAAUUGACUUUAUAUUUUAACCUGGAUUUUCCAAUUGGAUUUGGUCCCAUUUUCAAAUCACCCUCAAAGAAACUACCCAUUUUUUAUGUCCACUCUCUAUUCUCUUGUAUUCAAUUCACUAUAGGGUAAUUUGGAAACAGUGAAAUUAAACUAAAACUCAUCACUGGGGAAAGAAAGAUGAGGUUUUUAGCUUGGACUGUGCCUCUUGACACUGUUGCAUACCUGGCUUCUGCUGACUUUAGCUGUCGAUGGUUGAUAGAACCCAUGAAGAGAAAGACCCAAAUUGAGAGGGAAAUGCUGAGUUGGCAAGUUAGUUAGAGGGAGGGAUAUACGCGUAGGAGGGGAAUUCUUUUAGGAGAAUGUGAAUAAAUGAGUGGGAACAGGGAGGGUAGUGAUACGGGGGAUUCAUUUACAUCAGCUUCUAAACCGAUAGUCAGUUGGCAGAGGAAAUGUCUUUCUGAAGGAGCGCUUGCUCUGGGAUUAUAGAGAUCACUCUCUGUAAUAGUUCUUAUUUCAGUCAAUAAUACGAUUUCUUUUUAUCUUGAAUUCGGUUCCAUAUAAAUGAUAGAGUCAUGUUUGUUGCUAUAUCAAAUUAAGUAGCAUUUACUGUUUCAAUCUCCAAAUAUUCAGUAGCACGGUGCAUUGGCUACACCUGCACUUAACUGUUCAGCUCAAAUUUCUGUAGAUAACAGGAUAUUGAUGUACAUCAGUAGGCGUGUAAAAAAUAUUUGACUCAUUCAAUAGAAAGAUACCUGAUUUUUUAUUUA